rnacentral:rRNA from 3 species
CCGUAACUAUAACGGUCCUAAGGUAGCGAAAUUCCUUGUCGGGUAAGUUCCGACCUGCACGAAUGGCGUAAUGAUGGCCAGGCUGUCUCCACCCGAGACUCAGUGAAAUUGAACUCGCUGUGAAGAUGCAGUGUACCCGCGGCAAGACGGAAAGACCCCGUGAACCUUUACUAUAGCUUGACACUGAACAUUGAGCCUUGAUGUGUAGGAUAGGUGGGAGGCUUUGAAGUGUGGACGCCAGUCUGCAUGGAGCCGACCUUGAAAUACCACCCUUUAAUGUUUGAUGUUCUAACGUGGACCCGUAAUCCGGGUUGCGGACAGUGUCUGGUGGGUAGUUUGACUGGGGCGGUCUCCUCCUAAAGAGUAACGGAGGAGCACGAAGGUUGGCUAAUCCUGGUCGGACAUCAGGAGGUUAGUGCAAUGGCAUAAGCCAGCUUGACUGCGAGCGUGACGGCGCGAGCAGGUGCGAAAGCAGGUCAUAGUGAUCCGGUGGUUCUGAAUGGAAGGGCCAUCGCUCAACGGAUAAAAGGUACUCCGGGGAUAACAGGCUGAUACCGCCCAAGAGUUCAUAUCGACGGCGGUGUUUGGCACCUCGAUGUCGGCUCAUCACAUCCUGGGGCUGAAGUAGGUCCCAAGGGUAUGGCUGUUCGCCAUUUAAAGUGGUACGCGAGCUGGGUUUAGAACGUCGUGAGACAGUUCGGUCCCUAUCUGCCGUGGGCGCUGGAGAACUGAGGGGGGCUGCUCCUAGUACGAGAGGACCGGAGUGGACGCAUCACUGGUGUUCGGGUUGUCAUGCCAAUGGCACUGCCCGGUAGCUAAAUGCGGAAGAGAUAAGUGCUGAAAGCAUCUAAGCACGAAACUUGCCCCGAGAUGAGUUCUCCCUGAGACUUAGAGUCUCCUGAAGGAACGUUGAAGACGACGACGUUGAUAGGCCGGGUGUGUAAGCGCAGCGAUGCGUUGAGCUAACCGGUACUAAUGAACCGUGAGGCUUAACCUUACA